GUCACCGGGCCGCACGGCCGCCCCUUACUUUCCGUGUACAUCGUUGACAGUACCUUCGGUUACCUGUCAGUGUUUAAUUUUUUUAAUGUGCUCUGUUUAAUGGAUCUCCUGUAGCGAGAACUUUUAAGACUAACGCCGUUAAAAGUAAUCAAGAGCCAUAGCAGUCAUCAUUUAGAAGAUAGAAAAUGGUGAUUUCGCCCUGGCACCGUUCGUUGUCUCCCGGGAGCAAAGUACAUUCGUUAAUUUCAUUCGUACUCCAUCCUAUCGGAGAGGCCAAUGCUUUAAAAGGACGUCCAGGAACAUGUGAAAGUGAGGUACCAUCUGCCUUUUUGUUCGCACUGAAGGAAAUUCUUUACGAAAUUUGAGAUGUAUAGUGGAAAGUAUAUGCAAAAAUAUGGACCCCUUUAAGCAUACAUUUUCCAUUUUUUGUAUGGAUUAAUCAUUUAAGCUCUAUUUACUUUUUUGUUUUUUAAAAGUGCCAUUAUAUUCGACGAGAUCUUACUUCUUCAGGUAGAAUGUACAGUUUCUUCAAUAAUGAAAUGGUUAUGCUAUUAUUGUUAUAUUUUAUUGAAACAAGCGUUUUCUUAGAAGUGAGGAAAUAACUGCUGGUAGAUUAUUUCUCUGUGUAAUAAAAUAUUAUAAUUUUAAAUCUUAAAAUUGUAUUGAAUAUUUUGUAACAUGCAGGCUACAGUGAAGACCCGACUCUUUGGAAUGGAUGUGGCUUAAAAAUUUCAUAGCAGAAGUAGAGAGACUUUUAGUGUGUUUACGACAAUAUUUUCUUAAUCAUUGCCGAUGCAAUUUUGUGUUCUUCCAAUGAGCAGAAGGUAAUCUUUCGCCACGUGAUAAAUUUCUUUCUGUUUUUCUUUUGUAAACUUCCUUUCUCUCUUGUUACCUUUACGAAGCUUAAG